UUAGUUUGAAUUCUGACAAAAAAGGUAGGACUAGAUUCUUUGCAGCUAUACAAAAGGUUUAAAGAUAAAAAGUAAUUUGAUGUAUUAGUUGUUUCAAAGAAAUUAAUAGUACAACUAAGAGCAAAUAACUGACCAAUUAAAAUGACCAUAUGUAUCUGGCCAAACAUAUAAGGAAAUUUAAAAGAAAAUAACAAGUGGCAUUUUGUCACCUCAUGCCACCUUUAGCAAUACCAUCGACAUUAUUACAAACACCUAAUGAAAUGAUUCAAAAAGUCCAGAAAUGUUGAACUACAACUACAAGAUUUAGAGCAUCAACAGAAAAAGGAAGAUAAUUCAGAUUAAGCAAAUUUGAGAGUUCAACAUAAGAAGUAUUCUACACCACUUUACCUUGAUUUUGAACGAGUUCUGCUGGAUGAACAAUGGAAGCUGAAGCUGAAACAUCAGAAGCCCCAGCUUUAGUGGUAAGCAAGAUCAUCUCUUUAUUUUGUUGACUAGUCUUUUUUUUCCUUUUUCGUUUUUGGUGUUCUUCGAUGUAACAGGCUAUCUGUAGGCAGAAUAAACACCACCCAAGAUCAGAUGUGUUUUUUAUUUUUAUUUUUUUGCUUUGAACAGCCAGAUCAAAAAAUUAGUUAAAAAUACUCCUCUGGAAACAACUUUUUAGCAUGAGAUAACUGCAAAGAAUAACACAAGCAUCAAAAUGCUUUCUAGAAGAUUAGCUCUUGCUUAAAUUUAAACCUUGAUUUGCAUAGAAAUGAAAAUUGCAUAGCAGUUGUAUUGAUCGGAUCCUGACUUUGCAUUAGUUGAAAGCCUGAAACUUGAGUGCUUCUGUUAAACUUUUUGAAUUUGUUCUUUUCUCCCUCUUGUUUUCCAGCAUUCCAUUGUGUAUUAAAUCAUGGUUCUAAUCUGGCAGAAGAGCUUGUCAAAUCAUUUUUAAAAAUCCUUUUAUAUCUUCUUCUUGUUUUAAUCAUGAAAAUAAAAAUAAUAGAUAACAGAAAUGGUGAUUGGUGUGUUAAUAUUUGAAAAUACCACUGUUAGUUUACUAGUUUUUAUCAGAUUCUGUAAGUUGCAUCGCAUUUUUCUAGUAGCUUUAGUUAUGCGAAUGAGGGGUUUAAGUUAACACUUCAAAAUAAUAGGUGGACUUGAUACAUUUUUUUCUGAAAGAAAGGGAAUAUGCUGAAAUCAUGAACUAAGCUGUCGUUAUUUACAGCUUGACUCCUCCCCAAGUAGCUAAUUCAUGUAAAUAGCUUAUAGUCAAGGUAGUUAAAAGGUACCUAUAGGGCUGACCACUAAGACGGCCUACCAACAACAUUUGAUAUCUGAAUAUCUAAGAUGGCCCACCGAGUAGAAUGAUGCAUCAUGCAUCUAACAACUUACAUGUUUAAAUUCCGAUUUAAUGAAUAAACUAGGAUGAAUAUAAAAAAUAUUUUAUGGACCUUUUGUUCUAGUCAGCUGACAUGUAAUGGUAUGAUCACUGGAUUAACCAUUCGAAUUAAAAUGUUCAGAUGUUCCAAUCGGCUUUAAGAGGUAACAUCCAUUCAUAAGGUCAAUAGGUUGAGACAGUAGUCGCAUCCGGCCAAUCAAUUAUGUCUGUACAUGGACCAACAGAAGUUCAUAGUAUCGGCUAAAAGAAAACAUGAUUCCAUGCUUCAAAAUGGAUAGUAAUAGGACUAAUGUCGAUCCUAUCUCUAUUACAGUAUAUAAUAAAAGAGAAAACAAACUUAAAGGAAAGGUACGUACCAUUAUACUUGUAGGUUUGCCAAAUCAUCAAGACAUAACACACAAGUCCUUGAAGCAAUGGAUUUGUGGUUCAGUCGACAAGUUAUAUAGUUCAACUGGAGCAU
rnacentral:lncRNA from 1 species